rnacentral:rRNA from 1 species
GACGAACGCUGGCGGCGUGCUUAACACAUGCAAGUCGAACGGAAAGGCCCUGCUUUUGUGGGGUGCUCGAGUGGCGAACGGGUGAGUAACACGUGAGUAACCUGCCCUUGACUUUGGGAUAACUUCAGGAAACUGGGGCUAAUACCGGAUAGGAGCUCCUGCUGCAUGGUGGGGGUUGGAAAGUUUCGGCGGUUGGGGAUGGACUCGCGGCUUAUCAGCUUGUUGGUGGGGUAGUGGCUUACCAAGGCUUUGACGGGUAGCCGGCCUGAGAGGGUGACCGGCCACAUUGGGACUGAGAUACGGCCCAGACUCCUACGGGAGGCAGCAGUGGGGAAUAUUGCACAAUGCGCGGAAGCCUGAUGCAGCAACGCCGCGUGCGGGAUGACGGCCUUCGAGUUGUAAACCGCUUUCGCCUGUGACGAAGCGUGAGUGACGGUAAUGGGUAAAGAAGCACCGGCUAACUACGUG